GACGAACGCUGGCGGCGUGCUUAACACAUGCAAGUCGAACGGAAAGACCCUGCUUUUGUGGGGUGCUCGAGUGGCGAACGGGUGAGUAACACGUGAGUAACCUGCCCUUGACUUUGGGAUAACUUCAGGAAACUGGGGCUAAUACCGGAUAGGAGCUCCUGCUGCAUGGUGGGGGUUGGAAAGUUUCGGCGGUUGGGGAUGGACUCGCGGCUUAUCAGCUUGUUGGUGGGGUAGUGGCUUACCAAGGCUUUGACGGGUAGCCGGCCUGAGAGGGUGACCGGCCACAUUGGGACUGAGAUACGGCCCAGACUCCUACGGGAGGCAGCAGUGGGGAAUAUUGCACAAUGGGCGGAAGCCUGAUGCAGCAACGCCGCGUGCGGGAUGACGGCCUUCGGGUUGUAAACCGCUUUCGCCUGUGACGAAGCGUGAGUGACGGUAAUGGGUAAAGAAACACCGGCUAACUACGU
rnacentral:rRNA from 1 species